rnacentral:rRNA from 1 species
GUUAAUGGGAAUUACUGGGCGUAAAGCGUGCGCAGGCGGUUCGUUAAGUUCGUUGUGAAAGCCCCGGGCUCAACCUGGGAACUGCAAUGGAAACUGGCGGGCUUGAGUGCGGCAGAGGGGGGUGGAAUUCCGCGUGUAGCAGUGAAAUGCGUAGAGAUGCGGAGGAACACCGAUGGCGAAGGCAGCCCCCUGGGCCGACACUGACGCUCAGGCACGAAAGCGUGGGGAGCAAACAGG